rnacentral:lncRNA from 7 species
AGGGUCAGAAGGAGGUGAUGGAUGUCCUUUCCCAGCAGUAGUGGUGCCCUCCUUGGAUUUGUAGAACUGCGUACAAAACACAUUUUCAUUUCAACAUCGCUAAGAAACUCAAAUCUUGAGUCAAGUUUUAUGCAAAUUAGGGAAAAGGCUUAACUGAAACUGGACUGGCACAUGAUUUUUAUUGGCUACUCAGCAAAAUCUCCUCUCAGUGAUACUUAUCACCAAAACAGCAACAUAAAGACGGAGCUUAAUUCUGACUCCGUUGAAGCUUGUGCAGUGAUUCUGCUGUUUGGAUUUCUCUAAAGUUUUCAUGAUGCUUUCUAUUAGAAAUCCCCUAGACAUCUUCAUGUAACAGCCUAAGUGCUCACUGUUCAAGAAAAUGUCUGCUGCAGUGGCAAGUGCAUUUGGUGAAGCAGUGUGAUGUGACUGAAACAAGCCUGGGAAAAGGUCAUGGAGCAAAUCCAGAGUAUACCUACAUGCACGCCCAGGGGAAAGGAGGGCUUUCAGAUGGGAGGCUUGGGAUCAGAGUAGAGAGAAAUCUACAUUGUCUUUGCUCUGAGUGUGUUAUGUUCUUUCAUAAUGCUGUGUUUUCUAGUCUAUACUGAUACCAACACACCUGUAAAAAAUCUCUGUGUACCAGUAAGAAACAGUUAAUGUUCAGAAAAACAAAAGGUUAGAAUUUAAAAAGAUUAGGAGAACCAUGAACUUGCAAAGUGAUUGUUAGGUGGUAAAAUAGAGAAGGGUGUAACUGUGUUGUCUGUCACUUAUAUUUUGGGCCCACAUCAACACAGUCCUUGGGGAAAGGAAUUGCAGUAGGCAAUACUAUCUCUUUAGAGAUAUUUUCUCUUUUAGAUAUGUAUUUCCUAUCUUAAAUUAAUAGUGCGUAAGAUUUCAUUAUAACUGAUACAAUCAUUCAUGUGUUUAUUUUGUUACAGAGGAGACUAAAGAGCACUGUGCAGCCCCAUGAAACCUGGUUUGUUACAUGGAGUUCAAAUUAAGGCUUUUGAAAUAUUAUUAAGGUGGAUAAAAUACUAUUUAU